rnacentral:lncRNA from 1 species
AAAGCUGUACUCUGUGAAGCUUCCCUUUGUCCUUGGGAGGAAGUGUGAUUGCCUCACUUAAUUUACAGCUCUUUUGUGACUCCAUCCCUGUGUUCUCUUCCACUCUGUCUGGUACCUUGCACUAACCCCUGUCCCUCCCAGCCUUACCCUGCACUAACUCCUCUCCCUCCCAGCCUUUUCUGCCCCACUGCCAGCCUGGGUCAUGGUAUCCUGCUUCCCAUGUGCUCGUGUGGUUCUGACUGCCCCGAGGAGCUUGCCUCAGGUCAUGAGCCUCCCCAGUUGUGUUUUUGCUGUUCUCUGAGAGCCGUGUGGUCACCCUAUUAGAACAUCUUCCUUCAGAACUGUUAUUGGUUGUCUGUCUCUGGACCCUUUGGUUCCUGGCUUCCUGGCAUGCAGAAGCAUCUCCUGGAUGAGUGUGUAUCAGUGUGUGAAGACUCUCAGGCCAGCUCUGGGGGCUCAGGGUCAAUUCUUUCCUUUAGACCUGAGGCACUAAAGGUCUAGCCUAUUGAAGAUUAUAUAAACUACUAUCUAAAAGCUAAGAAAGAUGGAGCUGCUGAUGUAGCUCAAUGCUCAGGUAUGCACCAGACUAGCAUGUAUGAGACUCUGAUCUCAGUAACACACACACACACACACACACACACACACACAGGCACAUUGAUUAAGAAAGAAGGGUUUAUGUACUUACACAAACAACAUACUAUCCAUAUUGUUCUGUAACGUGAAAUGGAGACUGAAUAAAAGAGCUGAAGAGAUGGUUCAGUGACUGAGAACACUUGCUGCUCUUGCAGAGGACUUGGGUUCAGUUCCUAGCACCCACAUGGUGGCGCACAACCAUGUGUAACUCUAGUUCUAGGGGAUCAGAAGCCCUCUUAUGGUCUGGGCAGGCACACAUGGAGCAAGAAGUACAUGUAGGCAAAAUACUCAUACACAUAAAAAUAAUAAAUACAUCUUUAAAGUCAAUGGAAAAAAUGAGAAGAAGAAACUGUUAUCCAGGUGUGAUUGUACACCUGUAAUCCCAGAACUUUGAAGGAUAAGAUAAGAACAUCUAAGUUUGAGGCCAGCCUUGGCUACAUCAUGAGUUCAAGGGUAGCCUCGGUCCUAGGUAGGGUGGGGUUUGUUUUGUUUUUCUGUAAUAAACACUACGACCAAAAGCAAUUUUGAAAGGAAAGGGAAGGGUUUAUUUCAUUUCAUAGAUUAUAAUCUGUCACCAGUCAAGAGAAGUCAAGGCAGGAGCUCAAGGCAAGUUCCUGGAGGAAGCAACUGAAGCAGAGGCCAUGGAAGGAGGAGGUUUACUGGCUUGCCUCCCAUGGCUGCUUUCUUAGACCAUUCAAGACCACCUGGCCACCUGGGAUGGCACCACCCACUUUGAGCUGGGCUCUCACACUUCAACCAUCAAUCAAGAAAAAUGCCCUACAGGCUGGUUUUAUGGAGGUAUUUGGUUAAUUAAGAGUCCUCUUUCCUAGAUAUAUCUAGGUUUGUGUCAUGUUGACAAAGACCAAUCUGUCUGCUUGGGCUACGGAAUGAGACUUUGUUUGUAUUUAAAGAAGGGCUUUAUAUGUGACUUAGUCAGUAGAAUGCUUGCCUGGCACGUCCAAGGCCCUGGUUUUGACCCCUGGCACCACAUAACCGAGUGUGGUGGUAUAUGCCUGUAAUCCUAACAUUGGGACGUAGAGGCAGAAGGAUCAGAAGCUUAAGGCUAGUAUGGGGAUACAUGAGACUCUGUGGCAGAGAAGAGAAAAAAGAUGUAGCCCUGGCUGGCCUGAAACUCACUGUGUAGACCAGGUUGGCCUCAAACUCACAGAUCCACCUGCCUCUGCCUCCCAAGUACAAAAAUAAGCCCCAACUUAUUUUUGAGCCAGGGUCUCUGAGUGAACUAAGUGGUUAGUCUGGCUGGGCACUCCAAAAACUGGGCUACACCCAGCUUUUUAUGUGGGUGCUGGGGCUCCAAACUGAGAGAGCUCCUUUACUGACUGAGCCAUCUGCCUGGCCCUCGGAACCCACCUUCUGAGUCAAUCAGCUGAUUGCACUGGCUGUAGACUACAAUGGUAAGUGCAAUGAGCAUCGGCUGUGCUGCGUGCCCUGUGCCCACUGGGCUCUGGCAGACUGUCAUGAGAAUGUGGAGUGGCAGCAGGCAGCCCAGGGUCUCAGAAGCUGUCUUGCUCACAGUGGUGGUGGUGGUGGGCACUGGUUUUGAUGCUGUGUGAAGCAGUCGAGCUGAGGUGUCGGGUUCUGGCAGUCGCCUGCCUAUCUCGUCAGCUUUUGGCCCAGAGAGCAGGAGCUGUGGGCUGGAGACCACCCUGCGGCUUUUCGCUCCUUUCUCCUGCUCCCUUGUUCACUCAUCAGCUUCUUUCACUACAGCAAAGUACCCACCUUUGUUCGAAUGCUGGCCCCAGAAGGCGCCCUGAAUAUACACGAGAAAGCCUGGAAUGCCUACCCUUACUGCAGAACCGGUGAGUGCAGGGCUGCCCAAGGUGGGCACAAGUGGGCAGUGAGGUCGGAAGGAGGGGAGUCAGGGCUUUGUGCCCACUGUAACUUUUCAGAGUAAGCCGGAGGAGGGAGGAGGGGGCUCCUUCAAGCAUGGUGCAUGUCAGGGUUAUCCAUACAGCUUAGCCUCCCUGACAGUCAGAGCCAGAGGGGCAGCACAGAACAGCUUCUCUGAUUGGGGGUUAUUUUGACAAUUUUAAUUAUUUUUAAUGAUUACAAAAGUAAUGCUUACUGCAAGUAUUUUUAAAAAUAGAUUAAAAAGAGGAGAAAGUAAUUACUCAUGAGUCUUCUGUCUCUGGAUACUCACUGCUAACACUGCAGGAGUUUCCAGCCUUGUUUGGGAUGUUGUCAAAUUACAUUGACUUCUCUCUAAUUCUUUUAAAGUUACAGUUACAUCUCUCUCUCUUUCUCUCUCUCUCCCUCCCUCUCUCUCUCUCUCUCUCCCUCUCUCUCUCUCUCUCUCUCUCUCUCUCUCUCUCUCUCUCUCACACACACAUGUGAUGGUGUGUACAUGGAAGUUAAUGGACGAUUUUUGUAAGUCCAUUCCUUCCUUCCACUAUGCAGAUCCAGGGGACAAACUUAAGCCAUCAGGCUUGGUGGCAAAGAAAAUUUACCCACUCUUUUUCCUUGCUGACUGGAAUUAUUAUUUUUAAAAAACUAUUACAGAUUUUUAAAAAAUGUAUACAUGACUUUGCCUCCAUGUAUGUAUUUGUACCAUGUGUGCUUCUGAUGCCUACAGAGGCUAAAAGAAGGCAUUGCAUCCCCAGAACUGGAGUCACAAAAGGCUAUGAACUGCUUUGUGGAUGCUGGGAACUGAAUUCUGUUCCUCUGCAAUUGCAGUGAGUGACCCUAACCACUGAGCCCUCUCUCCAGCACCCCUAAAGCUUCUUAAUAUUUACAGUAGCAGCAUAAGUGUGAAUUCACCAUCAUGUGAAUGCAUAGCUGGCCAACUGUAUCUGUGGGCUCCACAUCCACAAACUCUAUAAACUCAGAUCAAAAAUAUUUGGGAGACACACUGGGCUUGGUCGUCCAAGCCUUUGAUCCUAGCACUUGUGAGAGGGAGGCAGGUGGAUCUUUGUGUGUUUGAGGCUAUCCUGGUCUAUAUAGGGAGUUCAAGCCUAGCCAGGGCUACAUAAGGAGAACUGUCUUUAAAAG